ACGAACGCUGGCGGCGUGCCUAAUACAUGCAAGUCGAACGAGCUCUCCCAAAUUGAUUUUAUGCUUGCAUAAAUGAUUUUUGGAUUCGGAGCGAGUGGCGAACUGGUGAGUAACACGUGGGUAACCUGCCCCGAAGCGGGGGAUAACAUUUGGAAACAAGUGCUAAUACCGCAUAAUUAGUUGGAACCGCAUGGUUCCAACUUGAAAGAUGGCUCUGCUAUCACUUUGGGAUGGACCCGCGCCGUAUUAGUUAGUUGGUGAGAUAAAAGCCCACCAAGACGAUGAUACGUAGCCGACCUGAGAGGGUAAUCGGCCACAUUGGGACUGAGACACGGCCCAGACUCCUACGGGAGGCAGCAGUAGGGAAUCUUCCACAAUGGACGAAAGUCUGAUGGAGCAACGCCGCGUGAGUGAUGAAGGUUUUCGGAUCGUAAAACUCUGUUGUUAAAGAAGAACAAGUGUUAGAGUAACUGUUAACACUUUGACGGUAUUUAACCAGAAAGCCACGGCUAACUACGUGCCAGCAGCCGCGGUAAUACGUAGGUGGCAAGCGUUGUCCGGAUUUAUUGGGCGUAAAGCGAGCGCAGGCGGUUUUGUAAGUCUGCUGUGAAAGCCCUCAGCUCAACUGAGGAAGUGCAGUGGAAACUACAAAACUUGAGUACAGAAGAGGAAAGUGGAACUCCAUGUGUAGCGGUGAAAUGCGUAGAUAUAUGGAAGAACACCAGUGGCGAAGGGCGGCUUUCUGGUCUGUUACUGACGCUGAGGCUCGAAAGCAUGGGUAGCGAACAGGAUUAGAUACCCUGGUAGUCCAUGCCGUAAACGAUGAAUACUAGGUGUUGGAGGGUUUCCGCCCUUCAGUGCCGCAGCUAACGCAUUAAGUAUUCCGCCUGGGGAGUACGACCGCAAGGUUGAAACUCAAAGGAAUUGACGGGGGCCCGCACAAGUGGUGGAGCAUGUGGUUUAAUUCGAUGCUACGCGAAGAACCUUACCAGCUCUUGACAUCUUCUGCCAACCCAAGAGAUUGGGCGUUCCCUUCGGGGACAGAAUGACAGGUGGUGCAUGGUUGUCGUCAGCUCGUGUCGUGAGAUGUUGGGUUAAGUCCCGCAACGAGCGCAACCCUUAUUAUUAGUUGCCAGCAUUUAGUUGGGCACUCUAGUGAGACUGCCGGUGAUAAACCGGAGGAAGGUGGGGACGACGUCAAAUCAUCAUGCCCCUUAUGAGCUGGGCUACACACGUGCUACAAUGGAUGGUACAACGAGUCGCGAAACCGCGAGGUCAAGCUAAUCUCUUAAAGCCAUUCUCAGUUCGGAUUGCAGGCUGCAACUCGCCUGCAUGAAGUUGGAAUCACUAGUAAUCGUGGAUCAGCAUGCCACGGUGAAUACGUUCCCGGGCCUUGUACACACCGC
rnacentral:rRNA from 1 species